rnacentral:rRNA from 1 species
AUUGAACGCUGGCGGCAGGCCUAACACAUGCAAGUCGAAUGGUAACAGGAAACAGCUUGCUGUUUCGCUGACGAGUGGCGGACGGGUGAGUAAUGUCUGGGAAACUGCCUGAUGGAGGGGGAUAACUACUGGAAACGGUAGCUAAUACCGCAUAACGUCGCAAGACCAAAGAGGGGGACCUUCGGGCCUCUUGCCAUCAGAUGUGCCCAGAUGGGAUUAGCUAGUAGGUGGGGUAACGGCUCACCUAGGCGACGAUCCCUAGCUGGUCUGAGAGGAUGACCAGCCACACUGGAACGGAGCACCGGUCCAGACCCCAACGGGGGGCGGAAGGGGGGAAUAUUGCACAAGGGGCGCAGGCUGGAUGCAGCCAUCCCGGGUGUGGGAGGAGGGCUUUGGGUUUGUAAAGUACUUUGGGGGGGGGGGAAGGGAGAAAAGUUAAUCCCUUGGCUCUUGGAGUUUCCCCGAAGAAGAAGCCCCGGCAAACCCCGUG